ensembl:lncRNA
UCGGGAUGGAAACGGUUUCAAGAUAUUUGGACAUCAACCGGACCUUCACCCUAAUAUGCUGCUUCUCCUCCAUUUUCUUGCAAGCAGGUAAAUUUCAUUUUCAGUUUCUGUGACAAUGAGUAUAAGCUAUGCUUCGCUUUCUUAUUAAGAAGUGUAUUGUGAAAAAAAAAACGCCUAUAAAACAGUAAAAAAGAAGACAGUUUCGGGCAAGUUUUUUUUUUUUUUCCUAAUUGUGGCUUUAAUUGUAGCAAGCUUGCUUUUUUAGUUUAGUCAAUGCAACUUAACUCCAUCACAAAAUGGUGUGUUUGCAAUCUUUAUUUCCACAAUGUUUAUCUUUCAUGCCCUUCAGAAGGGAGCACCACUUCCUGGAUGGUCGGGAGCACAGUGACCCUGCACUGUAGCAAUAACUCAAUCAGCGACCUCCUUCAACUGACAUGGAGAAGGAAUGGGACUCUUCUGUUUAGUUUCAGGCCACAGAAAACCUCAAACAACAGCUCUGUCACCUUAAGCAGUAAUCAGAAAACAUCAGACAGCAGAAUAAUAGGGUCUCAUGCAGCUGCCAUCCUGAAUCUAAGCAUAUCCACCUUAAAAAGCCAACUGUAUGCACUAAUCAUAGAGGGAGCCCAGAAAUAUCACGAAGGAAACUACAUUUGUGAAAUGACCACAGACUCAGGAGUCUUUGAACAGAAAUGGGAGCUCAUGAUUACAGAAGAAGCUGAAGCUGGAAAUAAAUUGAAAAUCCAUAUUGCUGCAAUCAUGGUACCUUGUGUGUGUUUCCUGAUCUUUAUCAUUUGUGCUUUGACCUUUCUGAGACAAAUCUGCAAAAGACAGUCAGAAAAUAUCACCCAACUGACUGUGACAUUGGUAAAUAGAAUACUUUCCCUACUCUCUGCUGAGAAGUUAGAUUUUAGACAAUUUGCAGAUACAUAUUUGAAAAUCCAACAGAUCUGCCAUCCUCUCCAUUUUAGGCAAUACUGA